AGAAGAGAAAGGCAGCAACUCACGUUCUCGGUGUGUGUAUGAAAAAAAUACUCCGUAAUAGAGAACUGCGCCAACCUAAUUUCCGCGUCAGGAGGAGAAUAAAACGACUCGAAGCACAUUACAUCUGUGACGCAGUAGUCCUUUCACAGGAUGGUACCAGGGGAUGCCGGUGCACUGUCUGCCAGUCUGCCUGACGGGAGUAACAGAUGAGAGAGGGAAAAGGGGAGGAGGAAGAAAAAGAGGGCACAGCGCGAUCAUCUGCACAGUCCAAACUAAACAUCCAGCUAAACUAAACUAAAGAGGUAUGAACUCUGUCUUGCGGCUGUCUUGGUGACAAGGAUUAAGUAUUGGGGUCAUGUGUAAAGAGCAUUUCCAUUCCACUGAAUAAAACAAGAGUGUAAAGUCCAAGUAUGUUUUUCCCAUAGCACAUAUACACUACUAUGAUACAGUUUAGGGUU